rnacentral:rRNA from 1 species
UGCUGCAUAUUCAAAAAAGCGGAGGAAAAGAAACCAACAGGGAUUGCCUCAGUAGCGGCGAGUGAAGCGGCAAGAGCUCAGAUUUGAAAUCUCACCUAGUGUGCGAGUUGUAAAUUGCAGGUUGGAGUCUCGGGUUAGACGUGUGUGCAAGUCCCUUGGAACAGGGUGCCACUGAGGGUGAGAGCCCCGUAGCGUGCAUGUCGACACCUGUGAGGCCCUUCUGACGAGUCGAGUUGUUUGGGAAUGCAGCUCUAAGUGGGUGGUAAAUUCCAUCUAAGGCUAAAUAUUGGCGAGAGACCGAUAGCGAACAAGUACUGUGAAGGAAAGAUGAAAAGCACUUUGAAAAGAGAGUGAAACAGCACGUGAAAUUGUUGAAAGGGAAGGGUAUUGGGCUCGACAUGGGAUUUACGCAUCGUUGCCUCUCGUGGGCGGCGCUCUGGGUUUUUCCUGGGCCAGCAUCGGUUUUCGUUGCAGGAUAAGGACAAUUGGAAUGUGGCUCCUCGGAGUGUUAUAGCCUUUUGUAGAUGCUGCGUAUGGGGACCGAGGGCUGCGGCGGACUCGUUCGUCUCGGAGGCAUUCCAACUGCACAAGAA